rnacentral:rRNA from 1 species
UACGAAGGGGGCUAGCGUUGUUCGGAUUUACUGGGCGUAAAGCGCGUGUAGGCGGCCCAGCAAGUCGGAUGUGAAAGCCCUGGGCUUAACCUAGGAAGUGCAUUCGAAACUGCGGGGCUUGAGUUCUGGAGAGGAAGGCGGAAUUCUCGGUGUAGAGGUGAAAUUCGUAGAUAUCGAGAGGAACACCGGUGGCGAAGGCGGCCUUCUGGACAGUGACUGACGCUGAGACGCGAAAGCGUGGGGAGCAAACAGG